GCUUGUCUCAAAGAUUAAGCCAUGCAUGUCUAAGUGUAAAUAAGUCUAUACUGUGAAACUGCGAAUGGCUCAUUAAAUCAGUUAUCGUUUAUUUGAUGAUCUCUUACUACUUGGAUAACCGUAGUAAUUCUAGAGCUAAUACAUGCAUCAAACCCCGACUCACGAAGGGGUGUAUUUAUUAGAUGGAAACCAAUGCGGGGCAACCCGGAUUAUGGUGAUUCAUAAUAACUUUCAGAUCGAUCGCAAGAUCGAUGCAUCAUUCAAGUUUCUGCCCUAUCAGCUUUGGAUGGUAGGAUAUGGGCCUACCAUGGCAUUAACGGGUAACGGGGAAUUAGGGUUUGAUUCCGGAGAGGGAGCCUUAGAAACGGCUACCACAUCCAAGGAAGGCAGCAGG
rnacentral:rRNA from 1 species